rnacentral:lncRNA from 1 species
GCAGAUGGGAGAAGACUAGCCACAGCUGAGGACUGCUGCCCCGAGCCACCCUUGCCCUCCCCUGCCCUUCAGUCCCCUCACCGGUCGCCGACUGCCUCCUCAGACACCGCGCGGUUCCCACUCAGCCGGCUGCCGACCCCCGCCUCCCGGACUGCGGGACUGGGGCGGGGGAGCGAGGAAGGGGCUAACGGCGCGCGCGGCCUCCGAGUGGGGGGAGCGGGGAGGCGCCCGAGCGUCCGGCCCCUCGGGAUGGGGAGGUCACGCUCCUGUCCCUCUCGCCCGCGUCGGCUAGUGGUCAGUCUGGCGCGGGCAGUGUCACCGGUUGCUGGGAAGACUGGGAGGCCAGCGAGCAGCGUACCAACCACUCAGCCUCUCCGGCCCCAGCUGGAGCCGGGAAGCAGGCGGGGCUAAAAGAGAAAGCCUGCGGGGGGACUCCACUCCCGCCUCCCGCGCGGGCCAAGGCCCCGCCCUCUCUUCUGGCUUAACCAAUUCCUGCCUCCCGCUUUGUCUGUUGGCCCACCCGCGGCAGCCAUCCCCGUAGUUAAGUUAGCGCCUUCUUAUUAAGUGAGGCCAGACUGGAUAGCUAUUAUCUCUCAACCCUCACCACAACCCUGCCAGGGGAAAUAUGAGCAUUUAUCCUGUAUUUUAGGUAAGGACCCCACAAGUUAAUGAUACGCCCAAAGUCGCAAUGCCAGGGAUAGGGGUUACUCCUGGUCGGCUUGCCAGCUGCCUCUCCAUGAGCUUCCUGGUUGAACUGCCUGUCCAAAUGUUGACCCUAAUGUCUUCUACUAGGAAAUGCUACUAGUAUUCCUUUCCGGAAAUGCAUUUUGGGAACCUGGCCAUCCUUUAGUGUGCCUAUAUCAUCAGAACAGACGCCCAGGGAUGGCCCUCAAGGUCCUUUACUGCUGUAAUCUUCCUUUGGAGGUCACUUAGUACCACUCUUCUGAGCUCUGCUCAGGGGGUCCCCUAAUUAGUGUACUUCGACCUGCCAUGCUUGGCCUGGAAAACUCUUACCCUCUUCUCUGUUUUAAUUUGUAAAACCUUAGUCAAAUGCCAUCUCCAUAAACCUAUGCUAGAAUGCCCCUCUCUGUCCUCAGUCCUGGGGACAUAUCUAUGCUGCAGCGCAACCUCCCGCAUGUUGAUACUGUUGUUAUAGUCAGAUGAAUACUGUUCCCCCAUAGCUUAAGGGACAGGCCUUGUCCUACUCAUGAACAAUUGAUCCCUUGAAGCAUGAGCAGAGGGCCAGCACGCCACAGAUGAUCAAUGAGUGUUUGCUGACCCGCAUAUGACAACACGGAUUAAGGAAGACAAAUCUGGUAGCAGCAGGCAAGAAAGCUGAAAAGCAAGACACAGGAUGCAGGUCUGGAGUGAUCAGGGCCUGAACCAGGAAGGGAUAACAUUGAGAGAGACAUGGAAAAUGCGCUUGAAGUAUAUAUAUUUUUAUUGUAAAGAAUCAUACACAGAUAAGGUAGUAUUAUAUAGAGAAUGAUUAGUUGAGGAUAUUUCCAGAGUCUUUAAGCCAGAGAAAUGUACUAAUUUAGACAUUUCUGGACUCAUUGCUCAGUACUGAUGUCAUGUUUUUAAGGACACUGACACACUUGGCUAAUCCCAGAGACAUGAAGAGGAUGGUGACUAGGGUGGUCACAUAAUUAAAGGGGCUGGGGAUAUUUAACCUAGAAAGAGAAACAUUUUUUGUGCACAUAAUGACUGUACACAAAUUCUAACAAACUUUCAUGUGAAAGAGGACUGGAUUAGAUGACUUUCUUCUGUGUAGCUUUGGAGGGAAAAACUCAAACAAUGGGGGGAAAGAACAGGAAGCUGGAUUUAGGUUUCCUAUGUUAUGGAAGUCAUCACAGUGGGGGAUGAUAAUUGUAACAGGAAGAUGGAGGGUAGUGAAAGAAAGUUCAAGGAUGAAGUUAUGUGUAUAUUUGUCAAUUAAAAAUAUCACAUCCA